GAUGAACGCUGGCGGCGUGCCUAAUACAUGCAAGUCGAGCGAAUGGAUUAAGAGCUUGCUCUUAUGAAGUUAGCGGCGGACGGGUGAGUAACACGUGGGUAACCUGCCCAUAAGACUGGGAUAACUCCGGGAAACCGGGGCUAAUACCGGAUAACAUUUUGGACCGCAUGGUUCGAAAUUGAAAGGCGGCUUCGGCUGUCACUUAUGGAUGGACCCGCGUCGCAUUAGCUAGUUGGUGAGGUAACGGCGCACCAAGGCAACGAUGCGUAGCCGACCUGAGAGGGUGAUCGGCCACACUGGGACUGAGACACGGCCCAGACUCAUACGGGAGGCAGCAGUAGGGAAUCUUCCGCAAUGGACGAAAGUCUGACGGAGCAACGCCGCGUGAGUGAUGAAGGCUUUCGGGUCGUAAAACUCUGUUGUUAGGGAAGAACAAGUGCUAGUUGAAUAAGCUGGCACCUUGACGGUACCUAACCAGAAAGCCACGGCUAACUACGUGCCAGCCGCCGCGGUAA
rnacentral:rRNA from 1 species